AAUGGGCGAAAGCCUGAUCCAGCAAUGCCGCGUGAGUGAUGAAGGCCUUAGGGUUGUAAAGCUCUUUUACCCGAGAUGAUAAUGACAGUAUCGGGAGAAUAAGCUCCGGCUAACUCCGUGCCAGCAGCCGCGGUAAUACGGAGGGAGCUAGCGUUGUUCGGAAUUACUGGGCGUAAAGCGCACGUAGGCGGCGAUUUAAGUCAGAGGUGAAAGCCCGGGGCUCAACCCCGGAACUGCCUUUGAGACUGGAUUGCUAGAAUCUUGGAGAGGCGAGUGGAAUUCCGAGUGUAGAGGUGAAAUUCGUAGAUAUUCGGAAGAACACCAGUGGCGAAGGCGGCUCGCUGGACAAGUAUUGACGCUGAGGUGCGAAAGCGUGGGGAGCAAA
rnacentral:rRNA from 1 species